rnacentral:rRNA from 1 species
AGGAUUCAAAGUCGAACAGACUUAAAAUUUUGAACUUCUACACCCAAUUUUAUCCUUAAUCCAACAUCGAGGUCGCAAUCUUCCUUGUCGAUUUGAACUCUCAAACAAAAUUACGCUGUUAUCCCUAAGGUAACUUAAUCUUAUAAUCACUAAAAAUGGAUCAAUAAUUCAUUCAUCAAUGGUUCUAAUUAUAAAGAGUUUAUUAAUUCUUCAUAUCACCCCAACAAAAUAAAUUCUAAUAUAUAUCCUCACAAACCCCCAAAAAAGAAUAUAUCUUCAUUUAUAAAACUCUAUAGGGUCUUCUCGUCCUCCAAUUUAAUUUAAGCUUUUUAACCCAAAAAUUAAAUUCUAACUAAUUCAUUCCAAGACAGUUAAUACUUCGUCAAACCAUUCAUUCCAGUCCCAAAUUAAAGAACUAAUGAUUAUGCUACCUUUGUACAGUCAAAAUACUGCAGCCCUUCAACUUCAUCAGUGGGCAGGUCAGACCUUAAAUUAUUAUCAAAAAGACAUGUUUUUGUUAACA